CUCACUGCUCUAUACCUUGGAUAGGGGGCUCAGUAGUGACCACGCGGCCGUCUUAGGAUAUUCAGUAAAAUGGUCUCCAACUUUAUCCCAUUCACUAAGUACAUUCAUGCGCGGCGCUAAAGCCGGUGACUUGGAAAAUUCCUUGUAUUGAAUAGCCUGCUUCAAUUCGCAGAGCCGAGCUGUCUAUCCAGUGUAUAGAGAUCAGUGGUGGCGUUGAACGAACGGUUCGUAAUCGUAGUUGAGCAACGAGGGAUUGGACCAUGGUCUAAUUAAUCAACCACUUGGAACCAUGCCUUGAGACCCAACCGAUUGAGCCAUUCACAUGGAAAUUACUGUAAGAGAUAUUGACCAUGAACGCUGCUGCGGAGAGUUGCAACCAACGGGAAACUGGUCGCACCGAAAAAUUGGGGUCGAUCGGGAAACCGGAAGCAGAACAAUGUUGGGGGCCCAACAUCUGUUUACAAUGGGUACACGAGGGGCAUAUCGUUGGCCAAGUUCACCAGUCACUGUCCAGGAAAUGGUUGGCCACUUUAAAGGCACGAACGGCCGCCCAACUGCUCAGAACGACCAGCGCUUACCUUCAGCCAGCAACACACUGGAAGAGAAGAUUGUAAGCAAGAGAUUACCAGUGUGGAAGCCGAUUUGAAGUCCAGAUAAAGCAGCGCGACGUCUACUUCGAGAUUCCGUCUUAGACCCGGACGUGAAGAAGACUCUUC
rnacentral:lncRNA from 1 species